ACGCUCGACACCUACGGGAGGCAGCAGUGGGGAAUAUUGGGCAAUGGGCGCAAGCCUGACCCAGCAAUGCCGCGUGAAGGAAGAAGGCUUUCGGGUUGUAAACUUCUUUUGUCAGGGAAGAGAAGAAGACGGUACCUGGCGAAUAAGCCACGGCUAACUACGUCGCACAGCCGCGGUAAUCUGAGCGGGCUGGCAAGGC
rnacentral:rRNA from 1 species